rnacentral:rRNA from 1 species
GAUGAACGCUGGCGGCAGGCCUAAUACAUGCAAGUCGAGCGAACAGACGGGGAUUUCGCUCGUCUUAAGUUAGCGGCGGACGGGUGAGUAACACGUGUAUAACCGACCUAUAAGACUGGGAUAACUUCGGGAAACCGAAUAUAAUAUCGGAUAUUAUAUUGAACGGGAUGGUUCAACAGUCCUAGACGGUUUUGAUGUCCCUUAUACAUGUAUCCUCGCCGGAUUAGCUAGGUGGUAAGGUAACGGCUUACCAAGGCGACGAUGCGUAGCCGAUCUGAGAGGAUGAUCAGUCACACUGGAACUGAGACACGGUCCAGACUCCUACGGGAGGCAGCAGUGGGGAAUCUUCCGCAAUGGGCGAAAGCCUGACGCAGCAAUGCCGCGUGUGUGAAGAAGGUCUUCGGAUCGUAAAACUCUGUUAGUAGGGAAGAACAAAAGUGUAUGUAACUAUGCACGUUUUGACGGUACCAACUCAGAAAGCAACGGCUAACUACGUG